rnacentral:rRNA from 1 species
UACGGAGGGUGCGAGCGUUAAUCGGAAUUACUGGGCGUAAAGCGCGCGUAGGUGGCCAGUUAAGUCGGAUGUGAAAGCCCCGGGCUUAACCUGGGAACUGCAUUCGAUACUGCCUGGCUAGAGUGUGGUAGAGGAGAGCGGAAUUCCCGGUGUAGCGGUGAAAUGCGUAGAUAUCGGGAGGAACAUCAGUGGCGAAGGCGGCUCUCUGGACCAACACUGACGCUGAGGUGCGAAAGCGUGGGUAGCAAACAGG